GAUGAACGCUGGCGGCGUGCCUAAUACAUGCAAGUCGAGCGAACGGACGAGAAGCUUGCUUUUCUGAUGUUAGCGGCGGACGGGUGAGUAACACGUGGAUAACCUACCUAUAAGACUGGGAUAACUUCGGGAAACCGGAGCUAAUACCGGAUAAUAUUUUGAACCGCAUGGUUCAAAAGUGAAAGACGGUCUUGCUGUCACUUAUAGAUGGAUCCGCGCUGCAUUGGCUAGUUGGUAAGGUAACGGCUUACCAAGGCAACGAUGCAUAGCCGACCUGAGAGGGUGGACGGCCCCAACUGAAAUGAGGAAAGGUCCAAAACUCUAAGGGAGGCCAGCGUAGGGAAACCUUCGGCAUGGGCGGAAGGCUGAAGGGGGCAACGCGGGGGAGUGAAGAAGGUCUUUCGAUUCGAAAACCCUGUUAAUAGGGAAAAACAAAAGGUGAAAUAAACUGUGAAAACUUGAACGGUACUAAAUAAAAAAGCAACGCCUACUACGUG
rnacentral:rRNA from 1 species